GUGCUCCCUUCCGCAGCACAUAUAUUAAAAUUGCAUCGAUACAGAGAAGAUUAGCAUGGCCCCUGCACAAGGAUGACAGGCAAAUUCGUGACGUGUUCCAUACCCUC
ensembl:snRNA U6 U6 spliceosomal RNA